GACGAACGCUGGCGGCGUGCUUAACACAUGCAAGUCGAACGGAAAGGCCCUGCUUUUGUGGGGUGCUCGAGUGGCGAACGGGUGAGUAACACGUGAGUAACCUGCCCUUGACUUUGGGAUAACUUCAGGAAACUGGGGCUAAUACCGGAUAGGAGCUCCUGCUGCAUGGUGGGGGUUGGAAAGUUUCGGCGGGUGGGGAUGGACUCGCGGCUUAUCAGCUUGUUGGUGGGGUAGUGGCUUACCAAGGCUUUGACGGGUAGCCGGCCUGAGAGGGUGACCGGCGACAUUGGGACUGAGAUACGGCCCAGACGCCUACGGGAGGCAGCAGUGGGGAAUAUUGCACAAUGGGCGGAAGCCUGAUGCAGCAACGCCGCGUGCGGGAUGACGGCCUUCGGGUUGUAAACCGCUUUCGCCUGUGACGAAGCGUGAGUGACGGUAAUGGGUAAAGAAGCACCGGCUAACUACGUG
rnacentral:rRNA from 1 species